AUAGUACUCCCUCCGUCCCGUAUUAAGUGACUUUCUAUUACAUGUAUUUAGACGUUUUUUAGACAUAAAUACAUCCAUAUUUGGGAAAAUUUGAGUCACUUAAUAUGGGAUGGAGGGAGUAGUUG
rfam:Brachypodium distachyon strain Bd21 chromosome 3, whole genome shotgun sequence.